UUUUUCUUCAUAAGAAGUGCAGAUAACAAGCGUCCGGAGGAGACUGAGUUCAGCUCUCUUACAGAUUUCUCACGUGGCAACACCACAGAAAGACAUCGACAUAAAAGGGGUCUUUUUGGAGUGGAACAUCAGUUUUUCCGGGAAUAUUACAGAGAUAUAGGCCGUCUUCACGAUUAUUGUGACGCCAGAUCACCAAAUGGAAGAAUUUCAAACUGGAGAUCGUUAGAUUCAACUUCGUAUACUGACGCCAUUCUACGAUCAACAAGCUAUUAUAAAACGCAAGCAGAAAAUGGAUUGAAUGUGGACAACAAGAUUAGUAUGGUUUAGCAGAUAAUCAAUGAGCGAUAUAGACGAUCUGAACCCUACGGAGGGCCAGAUGAGGGUCAUAUGUCAUCGGAAAAUGGCAAGAGGGGCUUGUAAGAAUUCUAAACGGCAAGCGAAACUCCAAAGUCAGGUCAAAUCGCCUUACUCCCGAUCCUAGGUAUCAGCGCAUUGUUUGGGGGCUCACUUGGUCUUGGGGCAUUGUUUGAUUCCCUUCGACGUCGCCAACCAUCUACAAGGACUUCUGUUAGACGUACACAUACAUACAGAACACGUUCAUACAGAACACGUACAUAUAGAACACGUACGUACAGAACACGUUCACCUAUUCGCAGAACACGUACAUACAGAACACGUACAAGUGUUCGCACAACACGUACAAGUACUCACAGAACCUAUAGACAAUGUUAGGCUUGUAAAAAAUGUGAUGUCAAACCUUAAGAUUCUUACUAGGACAUUCUCAAACAGCAGUAAACAGAAUCAACUUUCAAAUUUUGGAAUAUUUUUUUUAUACUUUUAUAACAUAGCCUCGUUAGUUUGUUUUUUUAAUGAGGGGGGUGUCUGUGUUUUGUUU